rnacentral:rRNA from 1 species
AGCGGCGGAGCGGUUUGGCACCUCGAUGUCGGCUCAUCACAUCCUGGGGCUGAAGGCGGUCCCAAGGGUUAGGCUGUUCGCCUAUUAAAGUGGUACGCGAGCUGGGUUCAGACCGGCGUGAGCCAGGUCGGUCCCUAUCUGUCGUGGGCGCUGCAAUACUGCGAGGAAACAUUUUUAGUACGAGAGGAUUGGAAUGGACGUACCCCUGGUGUGCCAGUUGGACCGCUCGGUCCACAGCUGGGUAGCUAAGUACGGCAGGGAUAACCGCUGAAAGCAUCUAAGCGGGAAGCCCCCCUCAAGAUAAGUAUUGCUUGUCGCAAGACGUGAGACCCCCGGAAGACUACCGGGUUGAUAGGCCGGACGUGUACGCAGAGAGAUCUGCUUAGCGAACCGGUACUAACGGUCAAAGACUUGGUCCC